rnacentral:rRNA from 1 species
CCUACGGGAGGCAGCAGUGAGGAAUAUUGGUCAAUGGACGAGAGUCUGAACCAGCAAAGUAGCGUGAAGGAUGACUGCCCUAUGGGUUGUAAACUUCUUUUAUAUGGGAAUAAAAUGUUCCACGUGUGGGAUUUUGUAUGUACCAUACGAAUAAGGAUCGGCUAACUCCGUGCCAGCAGCCGCGGUAAUACGGAGGAUCCGAGCGUUAUCCGGAUUUAUUGGGUUUAAAGGGGGCGUCGGUGGAUUGUUAAGUCAGUUGUGAAAGUGUGCUGCUCAAACGUAAACUUGCAGUUGAUACUGUCAGACUUGAGUACAGGAGAGGUGGGCGGAAUGCGUGGUGUAGCGGUGAAAUGCUUAGAUAUCACGAAGAACUCCGAUUGCGAAGGCAGCUCGCUGGACUGCAACUGACACUGAGGCUCGAAAGCGUGGGUAUCAAACAGGAUUAGAUACCCCAGUAGUC